AUGGGCAAAGGAGAUCCUAUGACACCAAGAGGUGAAUGUCAUUAUACGUGUUCUUUGUGUAAACUUGUCAAAAGGAGCUCAAGAAGCAGCACCCAGGUGCUUCAGCCAACUCCUCCUUACAGUUUUCUAAGAUACACUCAGAGAGGUGGAAGACCAUGUCUGCUAAGGUGAAAGGAAAAUUUGAAGACACAGCAAAGGCAGACGAGGCCCAUUAUUUAAUUAAAAAGAAAACAACUAUAUUUCUUCUAAAGGAGAAACAAAAAAGUUCAAGGAUUCCAAUGCACCCCAGAAGCCUCCUUUGGCCUUUUUCUCCUUCUGUUCUGAGUAUUGCCCCAAAAGCAAAGGAGAACAUCCCAGCCUAUCCAUUGGUGAUGCUGCAAGGAAACUGAUAGAGAUGUAGAGUAACACUGCUGCAGAUGGCAAGCAACCUCAUGAAAAGAAGGCUGCCAAGCUGAAGGAAAAAUAAGAAAAGGAUAUUGCUACAUACCAAGCUAAAGGAAAGCCUGAUGCAACAAAAAAUUGACUCAUCAAGGCAGAGAAAAGCAAGAAAAAGAAGAGGAAGAUGAAGAUGAUGAA
rnacentral:lncRNA from 1 species